GACGAACCGUGCGAACGUUGUUCGGAAUCACUGGGCUUAAAGGGCGCGUAGGCGGACUGCCAAGUCCGGGGUGAAAUCUUUCGGCUUAACCGGAAAAUAGCCUCGGAGACUGGCGGUCUGGAGGGGGGUAGGGGCAGCUGGAACUUCCGGUGGAGCGGUGAAAUGCGUUGAUAUCGGAAGGAACGCCGGUGGCGAAAGCGAGCUGCUGGACCUUUUCUGACGCUGAGGCGCGAAAGCCAGGGGAGCAAACGGG
rnacentral:rRNA from 1 species